rnacentral:rRNA from 1 species
CACGGGGGGGAGCAAGCGUUGUUCGGAAUCACUGGGCGUAAAGGGCGUGUAGGCGGUUGGGUAAGUGGAAUGUGAAAUGCCCCGGCUCACCCGGGGACCGGCAUUCCAAACUGCUCAGCUCGAGUAUGGGAGAGGAUGAGGGAAUUCCUGGUGUAGCGGUGAAAUGCGUAGAUAUCAGGAGGAACACCGGUGGCGAAAGCGCUCAUCUGGCCCAAUACUGACGCUGAGGCGCGAAAGCUAGGGGAGCAAACGGG